AUGCAUAGCCUAUUUUGCCCUUAUUUCUUUGCUAAAAGUAGUUGUAUAUCUUUAUGUAGAUGCAAAGAAGCUGAGAAGUAUUGGAGAGCAAAUAGAAUGUUUAAUGAAGAUCACUAUCUCUGUCACAACAUGAAUGAGAAGAGGCUUCAAUUGGUUGAAUCAGUAGCAGAAAUGGAAAGCUUCUUUUACUCGUAAAUGAAAGAAGAGACAGAGUGAGCAUUUUGUACCUUUUAAUAAAAAAGUAAGUGAAAGGAAACUACCUGUGUGCUGUAAUGAGAAAUGAGGGCUGCAAGAAACUUGAAGUCAAAUAUAUGGGAUUUCUUUAACUUUUAAAUAAUUUGAAUGGUAAAGAAUAUUUCAUCUAUUUUUUUUUGGAUGACAUGUUGUGAACAAAGGAAAUCGAAGUACAGAACUGAGGCAUAGUAAUUUUUAGUACUUAUUUUGAUAAACUACAUUUAGGUUUUUGAAUAUAAUUGUUUUAUAAGUCCAUAGCUUGCAUAUAUGGCUUAGUAUAUAAAAACAAAAUCACUGAGAAGUUAAAUUUUAUAGUUUAUAAUCAAAUAAUAAAGUUUAUAAUACACUGAAUUUCAGCAAACUGAAUUGAAGCAUGAAAUGCUAUCAAGUGAAUUUAGGACCAUUCAACAUUUAUCUACUUAAUAACAAUUAUUUUUUAAAGGUUUUAGUGUUUUGAAAUUGUUUUAGUGUUGCUUGGACAUAAAAGGGAAAAUUAUAUUAAAUGCCUAGAGACAGAUACUUUCUAAUUUCUAUCUUAUUUUCCUUUCAUUUCAAACAUUUUUUCCCCUAUGACAAAAGUCUUCCACCAUCAAGUCUUCUUAAUCGGAUCCUACUAGGUCAGGUUAAUCUGUUUCAUAAUUAAUAAUUUCUGUUGUUCCAGCAUGUGAUACUAUAAGCACUAGCUAUUGUCUGGAGCAGGGAAAAAAUGAGGUAUAAAAUAAACAAAUUCCUAUUAGCAAAUGAGAGCUGCAGGAAACUUGAAGCCCUCACUUUGUCUCUGGAAAUGGAUCUGGGUCACUGACAUAAAAUUCAGAACUCUGAAUUUCAAACAUAGGUUGUGAAAUUAGAAAGAAGGUAUUUUUAUCUAUGUGGCUCAGAAGUAAUUUGUAAAGGACCAACAAAUACAAAUCUAUGUGUGUGUGUGUGUGUUUAUAAAAAGGAAAAUAAAGAAAAAGAACAAGAACAAAGCAAAUCUCAGUGGCAUAUCAACUGGUACAAUGAGUAACUAAGGAAGGCUAUAAAAGUUACUAGCAAGUCAUUCAAUCAUAGACUAUGGUAGAGAGAAGGGCUCUCAAGUGGUCAUAUAAUCUAGUUCUUUGCUCUGGAGAAAUAGGAUAUUUCAGCCUCUUUCAAUACUAGCCCUCUGGCUACUCUUAAAGAUUUCAUAACAGACUAUACAGUUAUUUAGGUCAAUUCAUUGAGUUCCUACUGUGUGGCAAAGACAAGGAUAGGAGUAGGAUCACAAAGAUUAAUUAUAUAUGUCCUCUUAUCUGAAGAAGUUUAGGACCAAAUAAGAAGCCCAACACAUUGGCAGAUAAUUAUGGCCACAUAAUAUGAGUAGCUUGAUCAAGUGUGUAGUAAGUUCUGGGAGAAAAAAAUCUUUCAGUGUCAUUUAAGCUUAUGACUUCUUCUUCUUUUUCUUCUUCUUUUUUUUUUUUCUGAGACUGAGUUUUACUCUUGUUGCCCAGGCUGGAGUGCAAUGGUGAGCUCUUGGCUCAUGGCAACCUUUGCCUCCCAGAUUCAAGAAAUUCUCCUGCCUCAGCCUCCCAAGUAGCUGGGAUUACAUGCACGUGCCACCAUGCUCAGCUAAUUUUUUGUAUUUUUAGUAGAGAUAGGAUUUCUCCGUGUUGGUCAGACUGAUCUCGAAUUCCCGACCUCAGGUGAUCUGCCUGCCUUGGCCUCACAAAGCGUUGGGCUUACAGGCAUUAGUCCCCGCGCCUGGCAUGACUUCUUAUUCUGUGAUCUAGUUUAAAAGAAGAAGGAAAUAUUCUAUCAAAUGGCAAGAAGGGAGAGAAUGUAGUAGCUGUGUCUGUUAUGUCUACAAAAUGUCUAUUUGGAUAUUUAAAGGACUAAAAAAUUUGACCUAAAGGAAAAGAGAAGAAACAAAGGUAAGUAGGUGAGAAAGAAAAUAGUUGGGCAGUAAAGAAUAAAGCUCUUCUCUUUUUUUUUUUUUUUUUUUUUUUUUUUAUUGAGACGGAGUUUCGCUCUUGUUACCCAGGCUGGAGUGCAAUGGCACGAUCUCGGCUCACCGCAACCUCUGCUUCCUGGGUUCAGGCAAUUCUUCUGUCUCAGCCUCCUGAGUAGCUGGGACUACAGGCACUCGCUACCAUGCCCAGCUAAUUUUUUGUAUUUUUAGUAGAGAUGGGGUUUCACCAUGUUGACCAGGAUGGUCUCAAUCUCUUGACCUCGUGAUCCACCCGUCUCGGCCUCCCAGAGUGCUGGGAUUAUAGGCGUGAGCCACCACGCCCGGCCUUCUCUUUUUUUUUUGUAUUUCUUAAUUCAAGCUUGGCAUAAGUUUAGAAAAGUGCCCCAAUAAGAUCUAUAAACUUAACAAAGUAAAACACUUUGCUAACCACUACCUGAAAUAAGAAAUAGAACAUCCCCAACACUCUCACAGCUUUCUUUGUUCUUCUUCCCAGUUAUCACACACCCUCAAAUGUAACUGCUGUUUAACUUCUAGCUCCAAAGAUUGGUUUUGCUUGCUUUUGGAUUUUUUGUAAGUUGAAUCAUGUAGUCUUUUAUAUCUAGUCUCUCAUUUCACAUUAUAUCUAUGAUUCAGCUAUAUCAUUUUGGAUAACAGUAGUCUGAAUAUUACAUUAAUAUAUCACAAAUUAUUUUCUUCAUGCUAAAUAAAUUUGGGUUGUUUCUAUCUCUAGGCUAUUACACAUAAUAUUUUAUAAGUAUAGUAUGUCAUUUGGUAUAUAUAUAUAUAUAUAUAAGCACUUAUUUUGACUUUAGUCUGAGUAGAGCAAUGGGUCAUAAGUAAUGCUUUAAUGAGAACUCUCAGUAACUUUUCUAAAGUGUUUCUACCAAUUUACAUUCUACAAGCAUUGCAUGAGAAUUCCAGUUACUCCACAUUCUUGGUAACAGUGUUGUCAAUCAUUUUUAUUUUAGCCGUUCUCGUGAGUGUGUAGUGGUAGCUCACUGGUAUUAAUUUGCACUUUUCUGAAAAUUGUGAGUUGAUUAUCUUUUCAUAAGCAUAGUGACAAUUUACAUGUCCUCUUUUGUGAAGUGAUUUUUCAGGUUUUCUGUCUCUUUUUAAAAAGUUAUAUAUCUUUUCUUAUUGUAAGAGUUAUGUGCUGAAUCCAAGUCCUAUCUCAUAUAUAUGUAUUGUAAAUACCUUCCCCUAUUCUAUAUGUUGCAUUUUCACUUUUUAAUUUUUUAAAUAAAAACAGGAUUUUAAUUUGAAAGCAGC
rnacentral:lncRNA from 1 species